AAAUUUUUGGCUCUCAGUCACUUAAUACCAAAAAAUAAAAACAUACACAAAAAAAGUGAAAAAACACAUUUCAUUGAGAAAUCCCUAAAUCCCAAAACACUGUCUUCAUCGUUCCCGCCGCCACCACACUCACACUCCGGCGCAACUUUCUUCAUCGUUCCCUUCAAGAGAAGUGAAUGAGUUCAUCGUUCUCUCCAAUCGUUCUCUUAAGGUAUCAAAACUCACUCUCUCCAAUCUCUUUACUGUUCCCGUCGAGAGAAGUAAGAUCUGUCGUUCUUCCAAAACUCGACUGCUCUGUCUAUCUAACAUCCACCUCCAUAACCAAGAAUCAAGUCUCAAAUUUUAGUUUCAUUCCUCUUUUCUCUAUUUGGCAAAGAAUCUCCACAAACCUAAACCCCAAUUCCGAAAUUUUCCCAAUUCCUCCAUUAUUAGUUCAUGCAUGUACGAAUUAAGGCUUCAAACUCUCAUUUCAUACCAAAAGGAAAGUCAAGAAUCCUUUUUCACGGCUUGUAUUCAUGAGUUUUACUAUGGGUUGGAGCAUUUCAAGUAUUGGAGGUAAUCUAGGAUUUUCCCGACGGGUUUUACUCGCUCAAGCCGCACAAACGGGUAACUGAAGCUUGAAGUUUCGUUUUCCUUUUAAGUUCCAGAAGUUCCCUUGACACAUGAGGUUGGAAGUUUGGAUUGAAAAGAAUUAUAAGACGAGAUUCAAUUGGAGCACUAGAAUAGAUUGGAGAACAAGCUUUUGAUGUAGACUAUGUUGUGGUUGUAAUAAUCAAGUGUUGAGAGAGCUACAAUUACAGAGAUAAGCAGAUUAAACGAGUCAGGGGUAGGGAAUCCUCUUAUGGAGUUAAAUAUGUUCUCAAUUCAAGAGCAGAGUUCUUAUGGUUCCAUGGACUGAUUUCAAAUUCUGCUUUCAAAUGUUAAGGUGUGUACAUUACUUUGUAAUCGUUUAACAUAACUUUCAUGUUUAUUAAACUUUAUUGUGAGAAUCCUUUAUUUACAAAUGGUGAGAUAGUACUAAUUUCCCAGUCUAUCAUAAUUGUUAAAUGACAAAAGUCAAAUAGUUUUAUUAAUUGCAGAGUAUAUGGCUGUCCCAUUUUAUAUCAAGCAUACUUUUGUUAAUUUUGUUCUACCAUCAAAGAAGAAUUUUGCAGGGUAUAUGUAGUGGUUUACUUUCUUCAUUCCCAACAUGAAUUCUAUUAUAGGGUAAAUAUUAACUUUGAGUUGUUUUGGACCUUAAUUUUAAUGUGAAGGAUGAGAAGCCAACCAACUGGUAGUUUGCAGAAUCUGUUCAGAUGAAGGGGAAACCAAUCACACAUAACACAAAUUGCUAUGUUCUGUUUCUAAAGUCUGAAUGCGAACCCUCUGCGAGACCACCGUGAGACCAUGCAAAAGUUGUUUGCUACCACACCAUCACUAUUUUCAAUCAAUGGCUCCAGUUGUAGUGGGAGAUGUGAUUCCAGACGGAGCUUAAUUUUGUUGCCCUUAUUUGUUGUCAUUUGUGUAACCGAAUAAGAAAAGUCAAGAGAUGGUAGCACUAAUCAAGGAUUAUGAAGCAACAUCAUGUACCAGGGAAUGUUUAGAUAUUUUAAGAACUUAUUUUGCCAUAAUGUUUUGUAUGUUUAACCACUAUACUAAUGUUUAUGUUUUAGUUUUUCAAUGUUUGAACUACAUUGAUUUUUUUUC